UUAUUUGAAUUUCUCAAUAUCUAUUUUUGGCUGAUAUCAAUGGUCUAUUUUUUCAUGUCAAAAAGUCUCCUAGACAUGGUUUUUUUCUCAGAGUUAUGAACAGUCAAAGCUAAAAUCAUAUCUUCAAGCUCUCCGAGCUUCACUUUUGUCCAAAAUAAAUGAUAAUAGUCCACCUUUCUUUCUUUACUAUACUCAAAGUUAUAAUUAUCAGCAUAAAUAAGUACAUUUGUAUCUUUAUGAAACAUCUUUUCAUUUACUAUUUUUUCAACCAUGCAUUCUUGAAUUUAGAUGGUUUGGGCUUUUUUUGUUAAGCCUUGUACUCCUCCAUAUUCAAAUUCACCUUGAUUUUGGAUACAUGUUGUAUCCAUAAUAAUCCUUGUAU
rnacentral:lncRNA from 1 species